AAAGCCUCAAGCUGUGGAGAUGUUUCCCUGAGACUCUCAGCAGGGUUUUGCCAUGUCACCUAUGUAGAAAUGUGCAGAAGACUCUCCCACUCAGUGUCACCUAAGACCCCAGGCAGUACUUUCUGUACCUUGAGUCUCAGAAGUCCACUUGUAAGAACAACUCUGUCAGUUGCUGCCUACAGCCUAUGACCAGGAAAUACAAUAUUUGCUUUCUGGCAUCUUUCUCUUUCUUUGGCUACUGGAGCAACUCUCCUGGAAUUCACCAGCCUGAAAGCAAGUCAACUGGAGUCAACUUCCAGGGUAUGUGUACCUGCUCAGGCUCGUGGAUUCAUGGGUGCACACCUCCAAGUCCACAUGGAUAUGAGAGGACCACCUGCAGGAGUCUAGUCUCUCUGUUAAAUGUGUCCCAAGGAUUGAAACUGGGAUGUCAGGCCUGGUGGCAGACACCUUUAACUCAGCCAUCUUGCCAGGCCAAGAAGACCAUGUCAAGUCCCACUCCUACACUUGCUUGUUUGCAAGCAACACAGCAUUAUGAAUAGAAGAAAACCAUGCCAACGGCCAAUGCAGAAGCCCUCGGGCAGUCCGGCUGCUCUGGCAAAGCAGGCAGGCGUGUGCAGAGAGGAAAAGGUUUUGGCUUUGCUAAUCAGGGCCACUGAUGGCUUCUUACCUACAGUCAUGCAGAAGGUGAAUGACACAGCCACACAGUGUCCUUUGGGCCACCGGUGAACACCAUGCUCAUAAGAGAAGGUGGCAAGUUCCAGGGUGUCCUUGGAUAGUGGUUGAACUUCAGGUUGAACUUC